CCAGAGGCAAAAAAAAUCUAGAUAGAUAGACUUCCUAGAGAACUAUACUAUAAACAUUUUUCCCAACUCUCUGUCCUUUCCUUCCACAGUAAAAGAAGUGUAGUCAUUGUCAUCACCCAGCUCCCAGCUGUGUCUGCUUUUGUAUUGGAACUUCAGAAUUGCAAAUGGGAGGUCCUGGAUUUCCCUUGCCCCUGAAGUAUUGUGCGAGCCCCAAAAUGCUGUGGGUCUGGUGGGACUGAAUGCCUGGUUCUUAAGCUUUGCAGGUGCUGACUUUCCUGAGCAACAGUUCAACACGGACACUAGGAGUCAGUUAUGGUUUUUCCUAGCAGCUUGUUCAGCUCCUCCUCACUGCAGAUGGCACUUUUCACAACAGCCUUGAUUUGAUGUCCAGUACUGGCAGUAAACUUGAAACAGGAGAGAACAGGAAAAGAAAUCUUCUCUCAAGUGAAUCUCUGAAAGAUGAGGCCAGUGUGAUACCAGCAGUGCAGUACCAGUGAUCUUGAUUUUCUGCUUUGAUUUUUUGGAGGUGCAGAGUACUCAUUAUCCUUGACUGAGUUCAGCCAUCCAGCACUCAUAAAUCCCAGUUUCAGAAGCACAGUGCAGAUCCGAAGAGGAAGCAUUUCAGCUCACUGUCUGCUUAAAAAAUUCUUCACUGAGUGCUUCACGUGGAGACUGCUAAGCAAAGCGAAGGACCCAGAGGAAUGCUGUGUUUCCCAUAUUAAAGAGUUUGAUCACGUGAAGGCAUUUCAUUUAAUUUUUUUGCAAUUUUAAAUGGCUUGCGAAAGCUCAAAUUGAAGAGUGAGGUGUAUGGAUGAAUACAAGUUGACACUAUGAUGGGACACCUACUAAACUAUUGCUGAGGGCCAAAGAAGGCUUCUGGGUACCCGCUUCAGGCUUUUUGAAGUGACAAGCACUAACACCCAUAUUAUUUCCCCAUGAAUUGGUCUUAUCUGAUUACAAAUCUUGAAGAAGGCAAUUGGCAAGGGACAAGGUACAGAGUAAGCAUGUUAGUUUUCCUUUGAGAUUGCUCAGUAU
rnacentral:lncRNA from 1 species